AGAGAGAGACAUGCGCGCAUAUCAAUAAGCGGAGGAAAAGAAACUAGCAAGGAUUCCCUUAGUAACGGCGAGUGAAGCGGGAAGAGCUCAAAUUUGAAAUCUUCAAGGUUUUACCUUGACGAAUUGUAGUUUAAAGAAGUGUUUUCUGCUGAAGUUUUGGUAAAAGUUCUUUGGAAUAGGACAUCAUAGAGGGUGAGAAUCCCGUAUUUGACCAUUAUUUUCAGCUUUGUGAUACACUUUCAAAGAGUCGGAUUGUUUGGGAAUGCAGUCCAAAAUGGGUGGUAAAUUUCAUCUAAAGCUAAAUAUUGGCGAGAGACCGAUAGCGAACAAGUACCGUGAGGGAAAGAUGAAAAGAACUUUGAAAAGAGAGUUAAACAGUACGUGAAAUUGUUAAAAGGGAAGCGUUUGACACCAGUGUUGUUUUCUCGAAAAUCAAUUAAAAAUGGCUCGAUUUUGUAUUGCUGAGACCUUAAAAGCUCGACUGUACAUUUUUCGUGUCUUUUUUAAUGCACUUUUCGUUUAACAAGUCAACAUCAGUUUCUUUUGUUGUAAAAGGGUCAUUGGAAGGUGGCUUUCUUUUCGGAGAAAGUGUUUAUAGCCUUUGGCCUCUGCAAUCGGAAGAGACUGAGGUCUGCAGCGUAGACUCUUCGGGGUUAGAUACAUUUGUGCUAAGUUAUAGCUUUUUAUAGACAACUUGUUGACUAUAAUUAGUCUUGUAGCUUACUCGCUUAUGCUAUUUUACCUACGCUUAGGAUGUUGAAGAUGUAGCACAUCAUA
rnacentral:rRNA from 1 species